AUGCUUGAAGAAAAACUGACCUACAUAGGCAGUUGGCCACAGGAGCCUCAGAGAUUUAUUAGCCAGAAUGUUUUGGAGGAGUUAAAGCAUUUUGACCAAAAUAAGUUUAAUCAGAUACAUUCUGCGUUUGUUGAACUUGAGGCUGUGUCCUGGGGAUUCUUCCAUGGAGACCUGCCCCUUCCACAAAAGAUUAACACCAAUAACUUGCAGCAAAAUGAACGGCAUUAUGUAAUAAUGAAAAAAGAAUCUAAUAAUAAGUGGAUAGCGGAUGAACAGAUACCACAGGAUGUUCUGUCUAAGUGUUAUGAGAUUAAAUCAGGAGACGAUAUCAGAAAUGUCAUCCGUCACUAUGCAAAGACCGGGGAGAAUGAGGACACAUACCUGAUGGUCAAAGACUGGAUAUACCUUGUUGAUCAUAAAAGUCUGUAUGUGUAUCCAGUUGGAAAAAAGCUUGACAACAAUGAAAUCGGAAAUGAGGACAAAAUGAAUAAAAUUAAAGCCUGCAUUGUUGAACAGAUAGGCAAAGAAAAAUAUAAAGACAUGCAAAAACAAAUUCUUGUUCCAAAUAUAAAUAACCCAAAAGAACAAUAUGUUAAAUAUGUGAAAGAUAUUUUUCUUGGAGAGCACACAACUAACCUACCGCUAUCCACUGAGGCCUGGUACACCACAUAUUUCACUGCAUCAGUUAUAUCUGAAUCUGCUAGAAACUUCCGGACAUUUCCUCUGACUCUCAUGGCCCUGGAUAUGGUUGAAAGCAAAAACAACAAUAUCCGAGAGAAAGGACUGAGGUUUUUUUUUGAAGACCAUCCAAUGGCAAGGGGAGGUAGUUGGGUUGACCCAAGCAGGCGAGGAUUUAGUGGCUCAGCAACACCUGAAGGUUCUAGCAAAAAUGUCCCCAAAAACAAAUUGAUAAAGGCUCUUAAAGAAGUCCUAGAAAAAGAAUUCAACCAUUACAAAUUAUGGGUUGAAGUGAAUGGAAAAGAAAUUCUGUCUCAAAUAUUAGAGGUUGCAGAAAAAUACAAGAUAUCUGAAAGUAAGGAAACCAUUAUUAAAGAUUACGAAUUGUUCAAAACACAAGAUAGCAGUGAACUGCAAGCAUCCGGCGCAUUAGGAGGCUACAAUGAUGGCCACACAACAACCCAAGACAUAAAAUCUGCCACAGAGUUGGAGAAUUCCUUCAAAUUGGAAUCAUAUUUCUCCAGGGCAAGNNNNNNNNNNNNNNNNNNNNACCAAAUUCCACAAAGACCGGUUGAUCACAGCACACAGUAUGACCACCAGCAGAUCCUCAUCAUGGAGGACGACCCUGUUGUCAGAAAAGCUGCUGUUUAUCUGUAUGAGAAACAUCCAGCCGUUAGCUCUGUCUACGUUCUUGAUAAAAACCAAAAACCAAAACUGAUUCACGGUGACUCUGUGCCUCUGUCAGAGGACAGCAGACUGGUGGUGGUAGGCCAUGGUGUGAGAGACAACUCAGGAGAGAUGAGAUUGGCAGGAUUCAGCGCACAAGAAGUCGCCAAAAUCAUUCAGCAAACCCCCAGGCUUUCUGAUAAAAUAAAAACAACGAGUGUGGUGGCCUGUGAGGUCGGAGCAGAUAAAGCGUUUGUUGAAACCCUGCUGAGGGACCUCCAUGAGACCGCUGGCAUCAAGACAGAGCUACACCUCAGGGAUGCUGUGCUCCAGGUCAUGCAGACAGGGGAGAAAAUCACCCAAGACAUCUCUACAGAAGGGCUGCAAUGGCGACAUAAAGAUGAUAGCAAGAAAGUGGUGGCGACCCUUGAUAGUAACGGGGACGUUAUUAUUAGAAGCGAGCCUGGCAGUAAAGGAAAGGCAAUUUUUACUAAUGAAAGAAACCUUCUAAUGCAUCUGAGAAAACGUUUUCUGACCUACAGAGACAGUUGGCCACAGGAGCCUAAGAGACAUAUUAGCCAGAAUGUUGUUGAGAAGUUGAAGUAUUCUGACCAAAAUAAGUUUAAUCAGAUACAUUCUGCUUUUGAUGAACUUGAGGCUGUGUCCUGGGGAUUCUUCCAUGGAGACCUGCCCUCUCCACAAAAGAUUAACACCAAUAACUUGCAGCAAAAAGAACAGCAUUAUGUAAUGAUGAAAAAAAAAACUGGCAAAAAUCUCAGAGAUAAAUCUAAUAAUGAGAUAGAGUGGAUAGCGGAUGAACAUAUACUACAGGAUGUUCUUUCUAAGUGUUAUGAGAUUAAAUCAGGGGGAGAUAUCAGAAAUGUCAUCCGUCACUAUGCAAAGACUGGGGAGAAUGAGGACACAUACCUGAUGGUCAAAGACUGGAUAUACCUUGUUGAUCAUAAAAGUCUGUAUGUGUAUCCAGUUGGAAAAAAGCUUGACAACAAUCAAAUCGGAAAUGAGGACAAAAUUAUUGAAAUUAAAAAAUGCAUUGUUGAACAGGUAGGCAAAGAAAAAUAUCCAGACAUGAAAGAACGUAUUCUUAAUAAUAAUAUAAAUAACCCAAAAGAACAAUAUGUUCAAUAUGUGAAAGAUAUUUUUCUUGGAGAGCACACAACUAACCUACCACUAUCCACUGAGGCCUGGUACACCACAUAUUUCACUGCAUCAGUUAUAUCUGAAUCUGCUAGAAACUUCCGGACAUUUCCUCUGACUCUCAUGGCCCUGGAUAUGGUUGAAAGCAGGGACAACAAUAUCCGAGAGAAAGCACAGAAUUUUUUUUUUAAAGAACAUCCAAUGGCAAGUGGUCGUACUUGGGUUGAUCCAAGCAGGCGUGGAUUUAGUGGCUCAGCAACACCUGAAGGUUCUAGCAAAUUACAGAAUCAAUACCCUCCGACAGAAAAUGAAUUAAAGUUGGCACUCAAAAAAGUCCUAGAAAAAGAAUUCAACCAUUACAAAUUAUGGAUUGAAGUGAAUGGAAAAGAUUCUCUGUCCCAAAUAUUGAAGGUUGCAGAAAAAUACAAGAUAACUGAAAGUAAUUCAGUUGAACAGGAAACCAUUAUUAAAGAUUACAAAAUGUUCAAAACUAAAUUAGAAGAUAGGAGUGGACCUCCAGCAUCUGGUGUAUUAGGAGGCUACAAUGAUGGCCACACAACAUCCCGAGACCUAAAAUCUGCCACAGAGUUGGAGAAUUCCUUCAAAUUGGAAUCAUAUUUCUCCAGGGCAAGAGCAUUAUCUGCUGAACAAAUCCACAGUCAGAUAAAGGCAAAGUAUGGAGAAAGUCUGGCAGGGUUGCACAUUCAGGAGGGCAGUGCCAGAAUGGAGAAUGGACAGUUCAUAUGUAACGUUGUGUCUGAGGGUGCUGAUGUUGAACCUGUUGAGUUUAGGGUUGCGUUAUCUACAGAGAGUCAACACUACAAUGAAAAGAUGUUGAAGGGCAUUGACACAGCAAUCCAUGAUCUGGAGAGUCACGGUUCAGUCUCCUCCCAUAAGGUCAACAAGUUUGUAGAGCACAGUGGGAGUGCUGUUGGGGUGUUGGGUCUCAUGCUGGGGAUGAAAGGAGCUGUUCGUGCUUUUGAACAGGGUGAUGUUAAAGAUGGUGUGAUGGGAACUUUGCAAACGGCUCAUGGAGUGACAGCAAUGACAACGUCUGUUAUUGCGAGACAAACUCUGUCCUCAGAGGCAAGAAUCGCCAGAGCUGCAACCCCUGUAAUGAAGGGCACAAUGACUGUCAUACCAAUAGUGGGGAUUGGAUUUGGGUUAUACAAUUUAAAACAAGAUUUGGAGAGAGGUGACACACUGGGAUACAUUGAUGCUGCCUUAGAUGGUGUUAUACUUGAACUGGAUGUUAUUGAAAUUGUUCAGCCUGAACUGGCACCAUUUAUAAUGCCUAUAAACCUCGCUUUAUCAGUAGUCCGGAUGGUCAUUGAUGAUUUUUAUAUGAGUAUACAGAAUGAACUAAACAGCCUCCCAAAGGAUGCUGGAGUUGCACAAAAACUGCUGGCUGUUUUACGUAGCUUUGGGAAGGGGAUUUUGCACUUUGUAAUUAAUGUGGCAAGUUUCUUUUACGAUUGGCAUUACGAUGAAAUUGAGGAGGGACACCGACUUGUUGCACAGAUAUCAGACUACCAAAAAUAUUACAAAGUUACAAAGGAACAGGAUGGAACCAAUGCCAUUGAUUUUAGUGGUGGUGGCUCUUCUUGGAAUGGUGGAGGUAUUAACUUCUGCCUGGCUGACCAGGGUCAGUCUGAGCUCUGCAUGGACUAUUUUGUUUCUAGCGAGUAUAGUUUUGGAAGGAGGUGUUGGAAGAUUGAUACACAUGGAAGCCAAGAUAUUAUUCUUGGCCUGGGGGAAUCACAUCAGUUAGAGUACAAGACACUACAGAAGAAAGUACUCAUGUUCAUACCUGCCGGCUCUGUGACAGUGGUUUCAGGUUAUGAAGCUGUAUCUAAUUCCAGAUAUGGGAUAUACAAAGGAAAUAGAGAUUCUAAUCGUUUCUUUGCUAUUCAGAAAUCAGACGACCAACAUAUGAUUGAAGUCAUGUUAAGUUACUAUUACGAGCUUUACGGUGAACCAGGUGAUGACAUAUUCUUCCUCGGUCCACAGAGAAGUUACGUUAAAGGCUCUGGUGGGAAAGACACAUACGUCAUUCCUGAAAAUGGAGGGAAAACCAUUAUUAACAACUACGAUCCUUCCAAAGCAGUGGACACUCUUCACUUCAGUGUUGAUUACACUCACAUUUCUGUGUCUAAAUCUGGAGAUGAUGUUGUGUUAAUGUAUGAGGGCAGUCAUACGGUGACCAUAGAAGGAUGGUUUUUAGGGGAACUGUAUCGUCACAUGAACAUGAUGUCAGGAGACGGAGUUUUAUUUGAGAUUUCCUCCACUGUGGUUUCUUCUGUUCGGCUGGUGGCCACAGGAAUUAACAUGAUGUUUAAGACACGUGGUGAAAUUGUGAAUGCAUCACAACCACUUUUAAGUACAGUUACAAAUAUCUUUGGGUCUCGAUAUGAUGACGUGCUCAUUGGGAAUGGAGAGAAGAAUCUGAUGGAUGGAGGAGGAGGUAGAGAUCGUCUGACUGGGGGUGAAGGAGAAGACAUGUACAUAGUGAAAGACAGACAACAGUCCUCAGUGUUGAUUGAAAAUUUCUCCAGGGACAAUAAAACAGACCUGGUCAUAAUAGAAGCAAAUCUUCAUACUUUUAAUGUCAAGGUAGAAGGUGAUAAUGUUGUUCUGAACGCUUUCCAUAUGAAUAUAGCCAUCCAUGUGACUUUAGUGAGGUGGUUCAGAUCACCAGCAGACAGACACUUGCUUGUUGUGACAAAAGAUCUGAUCACUUACACAAUCUCGGAUAACAAGGCUGACUGCCAGCAGAAGGACCCCUUCACCAAGUGCAUAAAAAGUCGCAGCAUUGACUACAGCAGCUCUCCAUCUCAUCUGGUGGUGGACCUUCAGGAGGAUGAGGCUUUUCACAGUGUGACAGAGGUCCGCGGGUCAGCAUUCGAUGAUGACAUCAGAGGGAAUAAAGAACACAAUGUUUUUGUCCCGGGAAGUGGAAAUGAUUUUAUGCAAGGUAGAGGAGGAGAGGACUGGUACAUUAUCACACCAGGACAAGGAGUUAAAACCAUCAACAAUCAAUCACCAGAUCUAGCCGUGGACAUUAUCUUCCGAAAGAAGAAUAUCAGCACA
rnacentral:lncRNA from 15 species